GGAGGGAUGGCAGAGUGGUUGAAUGCACCGGUCUUGAAAACCGGCGUCGGUUAAUCCCGAUCUAGGGUUCGAAUCCCUAUCCCUCCGCCA
rnacentral:tRNA from 1 species